CUAGCCGGCAGGCUUAACACAUGCAAGUCGAGGGGUAUAAGGAGCUUGCUCCUUAGAGACCGGCGCACGGGUGCGUAACGCGUAUGCAAUCUACCUUUCACAGAGGGAUAGCCCAGAGAAAUUCGGAUUAAUACCUCAUAGUAUAUAUGGAUGGCAUCAUUUGUAUAUUAAAGUCACAACGGUGAAAGAUGAGCAUGCGUCCCAUUAGCUAGUUGGUAAGGUAACGGCUUACCAAGGCGACGAUGGGUAGGGGUCCUGAGAGGGAGAUCCCCCACACUGGUACUGAGACACGGACCAGACUCCUACGGGAGGCAGCAGUGAGGAAUAUUGGUCAAUGGGCGCAAGCCUGAACCAGCCAUGCCGCGUGCAGGAUGAAGCAUCUAUGGCGUGUAAACUGCUUUUGUACGGGAAGAAACAGCGCUUCGUGAAGCGCCUUGACGGUACCGUAAGAAUAAGGAUCGGCUAACUCCGUGCCAGCAGCCGCGGUAAUACGGAGGAUCUAAGCGUUAUCCGGAAUCAUUGGGUUUAAAGGGUCCGUAGGCGGUUUGGUAAGUCAGUGGUGAAAGCCCAUCGCUCAACGGGNGGAACGGCCAUUUGAUACUGCCAGACUU
rnacentral:rRNA from 1 species